rnacentral:rRNA from 1 species
CCUUCGGGGGCGCGCAGUGGGGAAUAUCGCACAGACCUUGGCGAUGCUGAUGCAGCAUGCCGCGUGUAUGAAGAAGGCCUUCGUGUUGUAAAGUACUUUCGGCGGGGAGGAAGGCGAUAAGGUUAAUAACCUUGUCGAUUGCCGUUACCCGCAGAAGAAGCACCGGCUAACUCCGUGCCAGCAGCCGCGGUAAUACGGAGGGUGCAAGCGUUUAUCGGAAUUUCUGGGCGUAAAGCGCACGCAGGCGGUUUGUCAAUUCGGAUGUGAAAUCCCCGGGCUCAACCUGGGAACUGCAUUCGAACCUGGCAGGCUAGAGUCUUGUAGAGGGGGGUAGAAUUCCAGGUGUAGCGGUGAAAUGCGUAGAGAUCUGGAGGAAUCCCGGUGGCGAAGGCGGCCCCCUGGACCAAGACUGACGCUCAGGUGCGAAAGCGUGGGGAGCAACCAGGUUUAGAUACCCUGGUAGUCCACGCCGUAACCGAUGUCGACUUGGAGGUUGUGCCCUUGAGGCUUGUCUUCCGGAGCUAACGCGUUAAGUCGACCGCCUGGGGAGUACGGCACAGACGUACCGGUUAAAACUCAAA